CCCAAUGGAGAUGGUGAAAACUUGGACAGGGAGAAGAGCAGGUUGCUGCAGCAGUCUACAGGCCUGACGUGAUGGGAAGAGGAGGGAGAAAACCCCCCAAAACCUCUACAAUAAUUCUUCUCAGUGAUUCCUGUCAUAGAUAUUUUACUGUGUGCAGUUUGUAUGGAGGGAACUGAGGCACAAGAAUAACACAUGAUAUUUUUCGUAGUUGCAUUAAAAAAACAUAUUUGGGCUGGAGAUUAGCUUCUAAACACAUCUCCUGUCACUGCACGUGAAGUGAGUCCUGCUCUGAGCACUUCUCAUGCUGUCCAUUCGGAGGAAUUAUUGCAGGAUAGGUGGUUUCAUCAGCAGGACUCUGACAUUUGUUCGAGGCUUCCAACAAAAGGUGGUGAGGUGGAGGCUGGUGAUGAAUGAGCCAGGACAAGGACCGGGGCUGCUCUGCUGUCGGUGCCUUUUUCCAGAAAGGAGUAGGGAGCGUGGCGAGCAGGAAGGAAGAAUUUGCUGAGAAUAAAUUCGACACAGUGGAACAAAGUGUUCCCCUUAAAUGUGUUCUUCAGCCAGAAUAGCAGCAGCGUUUCUGCCAAGUAUGGGGCCUGCUGCAGGAACAGUUUGGCAAGGGGGAAAAAUAUAGCCAAAUUUGUGCGAAGCAGCCUGAUAGUGGGUGGCAGGAUUAUGCAAUUUUACUGAUAUCCAGACUUCAUUAUCUCUCGCAAAGCAUUUCUGAAUAAAACAAAAUGGUAGAGCAGCUAACUCUUACUUUGUUUUCUUCGCUGCCCCCUUUCCAAAAGUUGUGCAUUUAAACACCUCUGUUCCUAUUCUUGAAACCUGAGAAGGAAGGCUGGGAGGACAGAGCUUGUAAUGAAAUCCUCCUCAGGAACCUGAGGGCAGGGCUGCAAUAUGAGCUGUUGCGGUGUCGGAAAUUCUUGGCUUUGUUGAAGCUUGGUCCUGGAAGGGAUAGGCCAGAAAAUAAUCUUUUUUUUUUUUUUUUAAAGAGGAAAAAUAUGAUAUCCUUUCACUUCAGUGUACUCUUCUGUAAGCGUAGUCAGUUCUGGGAGAAGUAUCAAGAUUUACAGUUAUCCUCGACGCUGCCAUGAGGGAUGAAUGAGCUCUCAUGAAUGGAAGAAUCAUCAUCAUCAUGUGGAAAUCAGCGUGGUUUUGCCUUGGGAAGAGUGAUUGUAGCUCAACUGCUUGUGUACAAACAAGAAUCCUCUUCUAAUUGCCUGGCUUGCAAAUUAAGGAAAUCCAGCAGGUUUGUUCUCACUGUACCUUUGACCUCAUGUGGAUAUGAGUUUAUUUAAGGUGUAUUUAGGAACACAUCUGACUUGUCCCUUGUGAGGCCUUAUUCUAGGAACAAGGGAGGACUCAGCUUGGGUUUCAUCUGCCACGAAGAUGUCAGAGCUGGAAGAAAAAUGCUGCUGCUCUAACAUGCUUUUAUUGAUUUAGCCGGUAUGUUCUGGAGCCCAUGAGAGGUGACAAACAAAGGCGACCCACGGAGACAUUUUGCGCUGUGGUGCUUUUCAAAGCACAGCCCUGCACUGAAGCAGAACCUUCCCCUGAACAUAAGAUAUGCACUCAGGCGUGGAGCCAGUGGUCGACUCUGCAGGAACCAGGCACAGCAAUGAUAGCCAGCAUAAAUGAACCCUCAAAGGAAUUAAUAAGAGAAUGCUGCAGCCCAGGUCUGAAUACUUGAUUUGUGAAACUGAAUAGGAGCAGUAUUAAAUUAGGCUCCAAUUAGAAGUACCUUUCAUCACAGCCUAAAUCUGGUCAGAGCUUUGGUCUCCUGUGGCAUCUAAAGACUGUUAUCGGUGUGCUUUGUCCCCAGCCUUUCGUCCUGGGGUUUAAAAACAUCUAUCCCAACUAGCACAAUGAGUGUAUGCAGGUGGGGGAAUGUGUGUGAUACCACUACCAUAGCAGAACCUGUGACUAUGAGUUUUGAGCUGAAACAAUCCUGCAGAGAGCAAGAAAAACCACUUCUGGCUCCAGACCUUUGCUGCUCUGAGGCCGGAUCCUUUUGGUGGCUGCUGCCAGAGAAGGGGAGCUAUAAACGGUCCGAGUGGAGCGUCCCUGGGUUUUGAUCCUCUGACUGACUGUGUAAACUUGGACCAGCUCCUUCCACCUUCUGUGCUUCUCGGAGCAGUUCCUAAACAAAAGCACACUUGCCAUAAAUUUCCAGUGCCACUUUGGCAGCACACUUAUUGAGUUUUCCAUUUUCCUUUUCUGGAUUUUGUUUCCUUCCACCUUUUUAAGUUUCUUCCCUUUUCCCCAAUGGAGUGCUUAUGUUCCCAGAUUAAAAACAGAAGUUUGUUCAGUUUGACUUGUUAAAAAUGUAGUUUUAUUUUACUUUCAAAUGGUAUUUUCCAUAUAAAAAUAUUUACUUUACUAAAACUGCAUCUUUCUGAUGGAAGAAUGUCUGGGUUUAAAAAAAAAAAGUCUAGUAGCUUGAGUACGUAAAUGUUUCAGUGGUUCUGUGAUUUCACAGAGCAAAACAAUUAGGGAUAACAAAAUUCUUCAUUUUAGUGAAACUUAAUUAUAAAAUUAUUUUCUCAUUGGCUGAGGUGUGAAAGCUUCAUGCACUGAAGACCUUCUGGAUCCUAGCAAUGUUAAUGUUGAAAGUGUAAAACCUGCUUGUUCUCAAAUUAUCAAUGCACCAAAGUAACAGGUGAAAUUUUAAUCUUUGUGGCAUGCUGCCCACGGAUAGCAAAACUGUAAUUUGUAGUUGCGUGUUAUUAGUAAGUGCAGCUCUGUGGUGGUCAGAACUGGAAGAUUUUUAGACCUCGUGUCUCGGAAGCCGGUCUCUUGGUCCGUGGCUGCAAUCAGGCAGGGCAAGCCUGCAGUAAAAGCUUUGACACCAGACUGUUAGCUUGUGAUGUCCAUGCUGGAGACUAAAUCCAGCCUGGGCUGAUAGCGGGUUGUUUUUGUUACGGGGCUAACAGCAUCCUGACCUCCUCCUCCUGCAAGGGAUUUUGAAAAUUGCCCCUCAGGUCCCCAGUGUAUAUUCUGAAUAAAAAGCUCAGCCUUCCAGAUUUUUCCAGAUUUGUACAGAUGAUAAGGAAGAGCACUAACUGAUGCUUUUCAGUGUUUUCUGAGUAUCUGGAGUGAUGUUUCCAAGCAGCUGCAGGCACAGCGUGGUUGUGUGUUGCGAGGUAGUGUGAGAAGUCCUUCAUCUCAAUGCACUGGCUUUUCAUAUAUGAGCACAAAUAUUUCCUCUGCUGCACUGACAGUAUCCAUUUUGCAGAAAACAAUAAUGUGAGUGAGAAAACAGGAGGUUUUCUCCCAGGGUCAUGUCACCAAAGGCCAGGCUAGAGUCUGACGCUUGGUUAUAAAGAUAUCAGCUUGUCUUUAACUUGUUGUUCCUACCCCUCUGUGCAAUUUGGAGACUUUGUCACGAAUGAGGACUGCAAAGUGCUGCACGAUGUAUAAAUCUAGAACCAAAGAGCCUCUUCCGUGCAAAGCCUAUCUUGCCUCUGCCACCCUGGCAAAUUAAAAGUGAGCAAAGCCUCCUAGCACAAAGCCUCCUAGCAGCACCGAGAGUGAAACUCCUGGCUUACUGCAACAGAAAGCUUUUCUGGGAGGGGGGCUGGUUACAAACACCUAGUUGGUGCCAAAAACUUUAAGCCAAACCAUUUUUUAAUUGCAGCACAUGAGGAGUCUCUAGAGACUCCAGGCAGACGUGCCCGAGAUGCCAUCCUGCGGCCUGGCACUGCACAGGUAAUGUUGGAGAAAAGAGAGAAAGGGAAGGCAGGAGGGCUUGCCAGCUGAUGCCCUGACAGCCAGCAGCAGCCACCGGUGAGUGAAAGCUGCCCCUAACCCCCCUCUCCCUGCAGGGGCCACCCGAAGCAUCACAGGGAAUGCAGCAGGUCACAUCUGGAAGUGUAAAAGCAACUUGACCAUCUUGGUGAUGCGGAUCCCUGGUCCCUAGUUUCUCUUCAGUGGGAGAUCUUGUCCACCCCAACCUUCUCCCUGCUCUCUGUCUGUGCUAAUUAGAUCGGGCUUUGAGGUAUCAAGCCUUUACAUUAGUGAUGCUGUUAUAGAAUUUCUGUUAAUUUAGCCAAUUGUGUUACAAAUUAACCUGUGGCAUUGGGAGCCCCUCUUGCAAAGAAAUUGUGCUGAUCCCUGAUUAGUGCAGUGAAAAGCUGCUGGCAGCCACUGCUGCAAGUAAAUUCUACUGGGCUGAUGCAGUUCAUCCUGUGGCAAUUAAAAUACAGGACCUGCAGUAUUGUUGCACUAGUGGCAACUGCAUGUGAACAAACACACUGACCCGGCAAUUUUGUAAGCAUCCUGAAUGUCCUAUGGAUUCAGGUUUCUUUUGUCUAUCAUAUAUCUUAGCAAUAAAAUGGAAUUUGCAGAAUCCAAAAUGGUGAUUUUUACCUUACCUUUCAAUGUGAUAAAAGUCAGAACUUGGCUCAGGGAUAUGGCAUUAUUCGUGGCUCUGGAAAGCAGAGAAUAUGGACUAAUUAUUUAACUGAAAUCUAAGUUUACAAUACUUCAUGUGUUACAUUGGUAGACAAGCUGCAGGUUUGGAACAAGGCCACGCGUUUGCACUAGCAGGAAAUUAAAACUAUCAACCACAAGUGGGUACUAAGUGCUGGUGAGUCAAAAUGUGAUGACAAUAGGAGCUGUGUUUCAGAAACAAAAUGUUCUUCACUGUCGGCAAAAGAAGGUGCUGGUUGCUGAGACAUGGGAUCCUUUUUAGUUUACAACACCUUAUGAGAUUUUUUUUUAAAGAAAAGUAAUGUGCAUUUUCAUGGAUAAUGGACCAUACUAAUUAUUUUGAAGGUCUG